rnacentral:sRNA from 1 species
AGAAGAGCCGGAAGGCUGGGGUGCCCCGGGCCGCCCCACUGUGACCCACUCUCCCCACAGGACCAUUCUCCUGAGUGUGAUCUCCCUCCUGAAUGAGCCCAACACCUUCUCGCCCGCCAACGUGGACGCCUCCGUGAUGUACAGGAAGUGGAAAGAGAGCAAGGGGAAGGAUCGGGAGUACACAGACAUCAUCCGGAAGCAGGUCCUGGGGACCAAGGUGGACGCGGAGCGUGACGGCGUGAAGGUGCCCACCACGCUGGCCGAGUACUGCGUGAAGACCAAGGCGCCGGCGCCCGACGAGGGCUCAGACCUCUUCUACGACGACUACUACGAGGACGGCGAGGUGGAGGAGGCCGGCAGCUGCUUCGGGGAGGACGAGGAUGACUCUGGCACGGAGGAGUCCUGACACCACCAGAAUAAACUUGCGGAGUUUACCUCACUAGGGCCGGACCCGUGGCUCCUUAGACGACAGACUACCUCACGGAGGUUUUGUGCUGGUCCCCGUCUCCUCUGGUUGUUUCGUUUUGGCUUUUUCUCCUUCCCCAUGUCUGUUCUGGGUUUUCACGUGCUUCAGAGAAGAGGGGCUGCCCCACCGCCACUCACGUCACUCGGGGCUCGGUGGACGGGCCCAGGGUGGGAGCGGCCGGCCCACCUGUCCUCUCGGGAGGGGAGCUGAGCCCGACUUCUACCGGGGUCCCCCAGCUUCCGGACUGGCCGCACCCCGGAGGAGCCACGGGGGCGCUGCUGGGAACGUGGGCGGGGGGCCGUUUCCUGACACUACCAGCCUGGGAGGCCCAGGUGUAGCGGUCCGAGGGGCCCGGUCCUGCCUGUCAGCUCCAGGUCCUGGAGCCACGUCCAGCACAGAGUGGACGGAUUCACCGUGGCCGACUCUUUUC